AGAGUUUGAUCAUGGCUCAGGAUUAACGCUGGCGGUAUGCCUAACACAUGCAAGUCGAACGGAAUACUAAUUAAGAGAAUCUCACACUAGUGAGAGGUUCUCACGAGUAGUAUUUAGUGGCGGACGGGUGAGUAACACGUUGGAACCUGCCCCGAAGUGGGGAAUAACUGCUCGAAAGAGUAGCUAAUACCCCAUAGUAUCCGGUUUAUCCGGAUUAAAGAUUUAUCGCUUCGGGAGGGGCCUGCGUCUGAUUAGCUUGUUGGUGAGGUAAAAGCUCACCAAGGCGACGAUCAGUAGCUGGUUCGAGAGGAUAACCAGCCACACUGGGACUGAGAUACGGCCCAGACUCCUACGGGAGGCAGCAGUGAGGAAUCUUCCACAAUGGACGAAAGUCUGAUGGAGCAAUACCGCGUGCAGGAAGACGCUUUUCGGAGUGUAAACUGCUUUUGUCGUCGAAGAUUAUGACUGUAGACGAAGAAUAAGGACCGGCUAACUACGUG
rnacentral:rRNA from 1 species